rnacentral:rRNA from 1 species
GGAAUAUUGCGCAAUGGGGGGAACCCUGACGCAGCAACGCCGCGUGAGUGAAGAAGUAUUUCGGUAUGUAAAGCUCUAUCAGCAGGGAAGAAGAUGACGGUACCUGCAGAAGAAGUCCCGGCUAACUACGUGCCAGCAGCCGCGGUAAUACGUAGGGGACAAGCGUUAUCCGGAUUUACUGGGUGUAAAGGGAGCGUAGGCGGCCAGCCAAGUCAGAAGUGAAAUCCCGCGGCUCAACUGCGGGGGUGCUUUUGAAACUGGAGGGCUUGAGUACUGGAGGGGCAAGCGGAAUUCCUGGUGUAGCGGUGAAAUGCAUAGAUAUCAGGAAGAACACCGGAGGCGAAGGCGGCUUGCUGGACAGAGACUGACGCUGAGGCUCGAAGGCGUGGGGAGCAAACA